GACAGAGGGGGCAAGCGUUGCUCGGAAUUACUGGGCGUAAAGGGCUCGUAGGCGGCCAACUAAGUCGGAUGUGAAAUCCCCAAGCUUAACUUGGGAACUGCAUCCGAUACUGGAUGGCUUGAAUCCGGGAGAGGGAUGCAGAAUUCCAGGUGUAGCGGUGAAAUGCGUAGAUAUCUGGAGGAAUACCGGUGGCGAAGGCGGCAUCCUGGACCGGCAUUGACGCUGAUGAGCGAAAGCGUGGGGAGCAAACAGGA
rnacentral:rRNA from 1 species